rnacentral:rRNA from 1 species
GACGAACGCUGGCGGCGUGCCUAAUACAUGCAAGUAGAACGCUGAAGGAGGAGCUUGCUUCUCCGGAUGAAUUGCGAACGGGUGAGUAACGCGUAGGUAACCUGCCUGGUAGCGGGGGAUAACUAUUGGAAACGAUAGCUAAUACCGCAUAACAGUAGAUAUUGCAUGAUAUCUGCUUGAAAGGUGCAAUUGCAUCACUACCAGAUGGACCUGCGUUGUAUUAGCUAGUUGGUGGGGUAACGGCUCACCAAGGCGACGAUACAUAGCCGACCUGAGAGGGUGAUCGGCCACACUGGGACUGAGACACGGCCCAGACUCCUACGGGAGGCAGCAGUAGGGAAUCUUCGGCAAUGGACGGAAGUCUGACCGAGCAACGUCGCGUGAGUGAAGAAGGUUUUCGGAUCGUAAAGCUCUGUUGUAGAGAAGAACGAGUGUGAGAGUGGAAAGUUCACACUGUGACGGUAUCUACCA